rnacentral:lncRNA from 1 species
UACAGACAUGGUCUACGAUACAUAAUGAUAUUAGUUAUAUAAAUAUUUCAACAUAAAAAUUAAAAGUUAAUUAUGAAAGUUUAAGGAACAUACAAACUCCUGUCAGAGUCGUGCAUAACUCUUCGACCCCGAUGUAUGAGGAACAGACUGAGCUACUCGUGCAGCUCUACCAAUAGCAGAAUAAGUCUGUAAAAUAAAGUAAAAAAUUUAUUAUAUAUAUAAUAUAUAAUAUACAAUAUAAAUCAGUAUUUUUAUAAAAUAUUUAAAAGAAAAGAUAAUGAGCAGAUAAUAUACCUGUGUCCUCUCGGAAAACCAAUAAUGAACCA